rnacentral:lncRNA from 1 species
GCGCCCGCCACCACGCCCGGCUAAUUUUUUGUAUUUUUAGUAGAGACGGAGUUUCACCGUGUUGGCCCGGGUGGUCUCGAUCUGCUGACCUCGUGAUCCACCCGCCUUGGCCUCUCAAAGUGCUGGGAUUACAGGCGUGAGCCACCGCGCCCGCCGGAGGUCGCAUUUCAACGUGAGAUUUGUCGAGGAGACAAACAUCCAAACCAUAUCAGUGAGAGUUUUGGGAACCCCUGAACUGGUGAUUGGCUGGGCAGAAAUUAAGAUCUUUCUCUGUUUCCCAUAUUUGCUGAGGAGAAGCCACAAGCUCAAGCGGCUCCUACUGUUGUCCCAGGGAUGCUAGACAGGGUCUCCCUCCCGCCACUCUGUCAUCCAGGCUGGCGUGCAAUGGCGCCAUCACGACUCACUGCAGCUUCGACCUCCCGGGCUCAAGUGAUUCUCUCACCUCAGCCUCCCGAGUAGCUGGGACCACAGGUACACACCACCAUGUCCAGCUAAUUUUUGUAUAACUUUUCCAUAAUAAACAAAAAAAAAGGAUCUCAAUUGUGGAACAAUUUUAGGAAUCCUUUAUUUUACUUGUAUUUUCCUUUAUUGUUCGCAAUAAAUACACCCAUAAAAGCUCUUUCAGUAAAUAAGAAAUAAAAAUUCCAAGUGGUAAGGAAGCAUUGUUGCAUCUUAUAGACAGUAUACACUUUUCUUUCUUUGUAACAACCAUAAAAGUGGAGUUUCUUAGAGUCCAUGAAAUGCAGUAUCUAAAACAUUCCCCAGAAGGAAUAAUGCUAAUAAUAGCAACUGAUGGGCCAGACAUGGUGGCUCAUGCCUGUAAUUCCAGCACUUUGGGAGGCCGAGGCAUGUGGAUUACCUGAGGUCAGGAGAUCGAGACCAGCCUGGCCAACAUGGUGAAAUGCUGUUUCUACUACAAAUACAAAACUUAGCUCGUGUGGUGGCAGGCAUCUGUAAUCCCAGCUACUUGGGAGGCCAAGGCAGGAAAAUUGCUGGAACCCAGGAGGCAGAGGUUGCAGUGAGCUGAGAUCAUACUGCUGCACUCCAGCCUGGGCAACAGGGUAAGAU